UAAGAAGAAAGAACCAUGUUCGAACACACAGUAUCGAUCUCAAAUCCCUCACUUUCCAUGGAGUCAACUAAUCUCAGCAUCUCUGGAAGCAACCCUGAUUUCCCAUACGCAUACACCAGAGUCCUGAACUCGAAAGCUGAAGAUGCAGAAUUUCGGAGAAGUUGCUGCAGAUAAGCGAAAGAGGCGUGGAAUCCUCGAUCAGAUUUGUGUUUGGCAUGGGACUCGAUCAGAUUGCAAUAGAACAGAGCGAGGUCUCGCUCACGAAACUCAAAUUUCGAAACGGUUUCUGCAGAAGCCUCCCUGAUCCUCAGAUAGAACUGCAGAACAGUAUCGAGUGUACUGUGACUUAACAGAAGUCUCUUACUAUCAAAGGAGGCAAAGGGAGUUGACUCACCGGAAGAGCGAGAAAGGAGAGGUUGGGCUGGGCGGCGCCGGGGGAAAGGAGAUGCGACAGAGCAUUGAGAGCUACGGAUUUCGGUGAGCCCGCGAUGAAUUUCUUCAUCAAGCGGUCGGUGGCGGCGGCAUCUCCGGCGGCGAGGGUCAGGCUGUGGACGAGGCGCUGGCCCUGCUUGCUCAGCGCGCAGUGGACAGGUGCUGGUGGAGUCGCCUGCGGCUGGGGGUAGAAAUGGCGGUGGCGGUGGCGGCAGCGGCAGCGGCUGUUCCACGGCAGCUGCGGAGGAUGCCGGAGUCGGAGGCUGUCCAUCGAUGACAAUCGGCAGCUGACCGGUAAAUAGGCUGGGCCGUGUCCGUAUCUGUUGUCAUCAGGUUCAGACCAGGCUGACCAUUUGACCGGACUAGACCGGCUUUGUUCCACGAAUCCCUUAUCCAACUGAUUACUUAGACCGGUCAGGUCCGGUAGCCACUUGUCUGUCGACCCAACAUCUCAUGCAUUUGCAAAAUUUGGAGCUAAGUCUUAGCGAAUGAUAAUAUUCAUCUUGUAAUUGUUUUUACCCCAAAUGCUUCAGAUAUUACUUUCAUGGUGUUAAAGAAGGAAGAAAACAUGAGCACUGCUAUUCGAUUCA